rnacentral:rRNA from 1 species
AUUGAACGCUGGCGGCAGGCCUAACACAUGCAAGUCGAGCGGAUGAAGGGAGCUUGCUCCUGGAUUCAGCGGCGGACGGGUGAGUAAUGCCUAGGAAUCUGCCUGGUAGUGGGGGAUAACGUCCGGAAACGGGCGCUAUUACCGCAUACGUCCUGAGGGAGAAAGUGGGGGAUCUUCGGACCUCACGCUAUCAGAUGAGCCUAGGUCGUAUUAGCUAGUUGGUGGGGUAAAGGCCUACCAAGGCGACGAUCCGUAACUGGUCUGAGAGGAUGAUCAGUCACACUGGAACUGAGACACGGUACAGACUCCGACGGGAGGCAGAAGUGGGGAAUAUUGGAAGAUGGGCGGAAGCCUGAUCAAGCCAUGCCGCGUGUGUGAAGAAGGUCUUCGGAUUGUAAAGCACUUUAAGUUGGGAGGAAGGGCAGUAAGUUAAUACCUUGCUGUGUUGACGUUACCAACAGAAUAAGCACCGGCUAACUUCGUG